rnacentral:lncRNA from 1 species
AAAAAAUGUAUAGAAAUUAUCUGAACUAUAAACCAUUUUGAUUUAGUUAUUCAACUUUUCAAAAUUUAAAUUUUACUAUCCAAUAUUUUAAUUUGUUUUAUUUAAGUCAAAGGCAGCUGGACUUCAAAAUUUGAAUGCGUCAUUUAUAUCUAUAAAUUUAGUUUGCAUACUUUAUCUUGUAACUAUAAAUUUAUUAAAAUAAGCUAUUUGCAUAAACUUUAAAGUUUAUAUAUAUAUAGAGAGAGAGAGUAGAAUAAUCCAAAUUAUAUGAAAAUUUAAUAAAAAAUUAUAUUUAAUAUUAAUAGUAAGUUCAAUAUUUCUGAUUUGAAAUUUAAGUCUUUUAUCACUAAUUUUUAUAAAAUUUUUAUUUUCAAUCAUUCAUUUUUAGAUUACUCGUUUGCUAGACAAAUAAAGUUAAUAAAUUAUAAAAUUUGGCAUCUAAAUAGUUUCAAUAGCGUAAAUUAUAUUUAACGAAACCGAUCGCCAAGUUAGAUGUCCAUUAUUGAAAACAAUUUACCAGUACGGAAGACCUCCGUAAUUUCAAAAGCAUAGGAGCCUAGCGCGCGCGCGCUCUCUCUCUCUCUCUGCAUAUAUAUAUAUAUAUAUAUAUAUAUAUAUAUAUAUAUAUAUAGAGCUAGGCUACUAUACUAUCUAUAGUACCGAGCUCCGGUACUAUAGUGUUGAUUUUCGAUCUUAGGGCGUUCAAAUCAACGAUCCACACCAUUAAAACUGAUCUAGGGUAUUUAAAGUUUAUAGAAAUAAAAUUUCAUAUUUUUUCGACAUAGUUUACUUUAUGAUCAAACUAUUUCAAAAUUGUCAAUUUUCAAUGGCUAUUAUGACGAGUUUGGAGUUUAACGGUGUAGAAGAAUCUAAAUUUCUUCAAAUUUUGAUAGAAAAUACUUUAAACUAUAUAGAUUAAGGUUAACAUUCUUGAUCUUGAAUUUAAAAGUCCUAUACUCAAAUUUUAAAGAUUAUUCAAUUUUCACCGUCCAUUUUGAUAUAAUUUAUUUAUUAAGUAAACGAUAUCGAAAAAAACUAAAAUUUUAUUCCUAAGAAAUUCAUAUAUCCUAGAUCAUAUUUAACGGUGUGGUUUGUUGAUUUGAAUGCCCAAAGAUCGAAAACAAACACUAUAGUACCGGAGCUCGGUACUAUAGAUAGUAUAGUAGCCUAAUUCUAUAUAUAUAUAUAUAUAUAUAUCGUUCACUGAUUGAAAUCAAAUAAAUUAAUAAGGUUGGAUGGUAAAAUCAAAAGUCGUAAAUGAUUUACCGCUUUCAGAAAGCGAUUAAUCAAUCAUCGCUUUUGCCAAGCUUAUAUUUUUUUACAUCUAAAUUUCUAAAAAUGUAUAACAUUAAAUAGUAAAAAUAAUUUUAACGUUUUGAAAAAAUAGUAAAUAAUUUAUCAAAUUUAAAAAACGAUAAAUCAUUUAGACUGGUUUUAUAAAUAAAUUUUUUAAAGGA